GGAAGCCCUAAUCUCUUAAGACAAAUGUAAUAUCUCUUCUUCCUCUACUCUCGCCGUCAAAUCUGCAAUGUCAAUCGUCACAGCUAGUCGCCCAUGCCGACUAGGGCAAAAUCGGGGUUAGAUCUGUGUGUUUUAGCCUUAUUAUUGGUUCUCGCAUAUGGUAUUUCCAUUAAAGAAUUCGCAUACCCUAAGUUAACUCCUUCAAAUUUCAAAUCUUUAGAUGCUUCUGGGAGUUUUUGUUCUCUUGUAAUGGGACAUUUAAAGCAGCUAUGUUCAAUCCCGGUGCGCAGGGAAUCAGAUUCUACUUGUGCGUUAUCCACUGGGAAUCCAACACCAUUCUCUCUUUCGCAAAUCGUUAUAUGCCCGUUUCAAAUUCAGGGAUCAUGGUUUGACUGCAAAUGGUAUAG
rnacentral:lncRNA from 1 species